rnacentral:lncRNA from 1 species
AUGAGCUAUAUGAUCACUUUGUCACUUAAAAAUUGGAAAAACUCAGAUUUUUAUUGGAAUCACAUUAAACUUUUAAAUCAUUUGAGAAGAAUUAAAUAAUCACCUUUAUAAUUUUUAAUAUUCCCAUUCAGGAACAUGGUUUAUCUCUCCAUUUAUUCUCCUAUUAUGUCUCUCUGUUUUCUAAUUUUCUUCAUAUAGAUGGCACACAAUUCUCUAAAUUGCUUUUCACAGCUUUCUUAUUACUGUUCUUUUAAAUGUGCUUAAUUAUUUUAGAUGACAUAGAAUAAAAUAGUCUUACCAUCAUAAUUUUGACUAGGUUACUACUGGUAAAAAGAAGCACCUAUUAAGAUUUUAUAUGUAUGUUUGCAUCUGAACAUGUUCCUAACUUCUCUAAUUAAUUUGAAUAUUUUUGUUAAAAUUUCUUGAGUCUUCUAGAACAAAUCAGUAAUUUGUAAAAUAACUUUUCCUUACUUUAAUAGUGGUACCUAUCUCCCUUUAGCUCCUUUAUUGUUUUGCAAAUUUACAAAGUAAUGUUAAAUAAUAAUGAUAUUAGGGUUUUCUUGUUGUUGUUCCUGAAUUUCAAAGGAAAUAUUUCUGUUGUUUCAGCAUUCAGAAUGUUGCCUCUAGAUUUUUAUAUUCAUUGUUAAGGACAUUUUCUCCCUUGCUUACUUUCCAAGACUUUUUCUCAGGAAUAGAUACAAAAUUUUAUGGGAUCAUUUUAGGACAACUGUGGGAGUAAUCAUGCGGCUUUUCUUCUUUGACCUAUUACUGAUGGGCAAUAUUAAUAAAUUUGUUAGUUAGAAGUGAACUUAUAUUCUAAGAAUAAAGUCUGCAUACUAUUCUGGGCAUAUAAUUCUUCUAAUAUAUUACUAUAUUAUUUUCAUUGGUUUAUUCCAGAUUUGACAUGUACCUCUAAACUGUCAUUUUGGAAAUUGUUACCUGGCCACCUCCUUCGCCAUACUCUGGAUGCCUUUUAUCAGGAAGAGGAAAAGAGUCUAUACAGACCCGGAAACAAAGAAAACUUUUUAGGGGCAGGCCAUGAUGAGUCAGUGGGAUUCAGGAUGGAACAUGACAUCAGAACAUAAGCCCUUCCUGGAAAUCCAAGGGACAGUACCAGUGGCAGAGGUAGGUGUACUUUGUACAAUAUUAGGGUGACUGCUUG